rnacentral:rRNA from 1 species
CCUACGGGAGGCAGCAGUGGGGAAUAUUGGACAAUGGGCGCAAGCCUGAUCCAGCAAUGCCGCGUGAGUGAUGAAGGCCUUAGGGUCGUAAAGCUCUUUUACCAGGGAUGAUAAUGACAGUACCUGGAGAAUAAGCUCCGGCUAACUCCGUGCCAGCAGCCGCGGUAAUACGGAGGGAGCUAGCGUUGUUCGGAAUUACUGGGCGUAAAGCGUACGUAGGCGGUUAUUCAAGUCAGAGGUGAAAGCCCGGGGCUCAACCCCGGAACGGCCUUUGAAACUAGGUAGCUAGAAUCUUGGAGAGGUCAGUGGAAUUCCGAGUGUAGAGGUGAAAUUCGUAGAUAUUCGGAAGAACACCAGUGGCGAAGGCGACUGACUGGACAAGUAUUGACGCUGAGGUACGAAAGCGUGGGGAGCAAACAGGAUUAGAUACCCUGGUAGUCCACGCCGUAAACGAUGAUAACUAGCUGUUCGGGCACUUGGUGCUUGAGUGGCGCAGCUAACGCAUUAAGUUAUCCGCCUGGGGAGUACGGUCGCAAGAUUAAAACUCAAAGGAAUUGACGGCUGAGACGUGCGAGACGACGACGAGGAGAG